rfam:Arabidopsis lyrata subsp. lyrata unplaced genomic scaffold ARALYscaffold_7, whole genome shotgun sequence.
UUUUCGUAGCCGUGAAGUUAAUGGCUAGAGUGACUAGACCCGUAACAUUGCUAUGAAAUCAUUUGAACUGAAAUUUGUUGAUCUGCGGUUUAUUUUCAAGAGAUCAAAACGAAGAUAAGUGGUGGCACAAGUUUACUUUAGCGAAUUUAUCGCUAUGUUAUCGGGUCUAGCACUCUAUCCACUGAUUUCACGACCACGAGCCUC